rnacentral:rRNA from 1 species
UACGUAGGGUGCGAGCGUUGUCCGGAAUUACUGGGCGUAAAGAGCUCGUAGGUGGUUUGUCGCGUUGUUCGUGAAAACUCACAGCUUAACUGUGGGCGUGCGGGCGAUACGGGCAGACUGGAGUACUGCAGGGGAGACUGGAAUUCCUGGUGUAGCGGUGGAAUGCGCAGAUAUCAGGAGGAACACCGGUGGCGAAGGCGGGUCUCUGGGCAGUAACUGACGCUGAGGUGCGAAAGCGUGGGGAGCAAACAGG